UAAGGAAUAUUGGACAAUGCCCGCAAGGGUGAUCCAGCCAUGCCGCGUGCAGGAAGACGGCCCUAUGGGUUGUAAACUGCUUUUACACCGGAGAAAACCUCCCUUCGUGAAGGGAGCUGAUAGUAUGGUGAGAAUAAGCAUCGGCUAACUUCGUGCCAGCAGCCGCGGUAAGACGAAGGAUGCAAGCGUUAUCCGGAUUCAUUGGGUUUAAAGGGAGCGUAGGUGGCCUUAUAAGUCAGUGGUGAAAUCUCUGGGCUUAACCCAGAAAUUGCCAUUGAUACUGUAGGGCUUGAGUAUAGUUGCCGUUGGCGGAAUAUGACAUGUAGUGGUGAAAUACAUAGAGAUGUCAUAGAACACCGAUUGCGAAGGCAGCUGACGAAACUAUAACUGACACUGAGGCUCGAAAGUGCGGGGAUCAAACAG
rnacentral:rRNA from 1 species